rnacentral:lncRNA from 1 species
CCUUGGUUCGUGUAUUUAUUUACACCGAAAACACGCAAACACAUAGGAGAAAACGUUUUUUUUUAUAUAGUAAAAGAAUGUUCAAAAAGGUACCAAAAAGCUAGGAGAGAAAAACAAAUCAGUGGGCUAUUUUGGAUCCGAUGGAUCGUUAAGCAUGAGCAUUGUAAUGUAUCCGUGGUUGGUUAGCAUUUGGUCACAUG